rnacentral:lncRNA from 1 species
GUCAUACAAGAAUAAUCAUCCACAAAAUUGAUAAAAUAUUGAAAUUUAUUAGAAGAAAUAUUGAUGGUCCCCAACAUCAGAAUGACCUAACUCAAAUAAACUAGAAACACUACUACUAGUUCGUAAAGGAAAAGACACAUUGUGAUAUUUGCUAAACUGCAAGCUUCAUAUUCAAUGGAGGACACAUUAUGAAGACUCACAACUUAACGUUUUAAAGUGGAUAGAUAAGGGUCAAGAUGGUAAUGCCACUAUAUAGGUGAAGCAGAAGACUCUAGAGCUUGAGGAUGAGAGAAAUACAAGGCUCCAACUUCAUGCUCCACACCAAUCAUCAUCUUCGUCUUGAGACCCUAAAAACACACAAUGAGGGAUAAAAUAUUAUAAAGCACUGAAGAGAUGUGGUAAUUUUACUAAUAAAUAAUAAUCUAAAGGAAAGGCUAAGAACAUGAACGACAAUCGAUAGAUUAAUAUUAAGAUUAGGAUUAGAAUUGGCAUUGGCAUUACCCAAGCCUACAACACUAGUCUAGAACCGUUACCAAGAGUGACACGUGUGAAAGAAGUAACGGGAUGAUAAUCAAAAAGAGAAGUAGAGAAUUAAUCAUGUGUUCAGUUGCACUGAAAUCGAUAAUCCAUGGAUUAUGAGAGGAUGACAAUAGACAUUAAGAACCCUGAUAGAAGGAGUGUGGCCGUAGAAGUUGAAGUAGCCUGUUUAUGAGUUAAAAAUCCAGCAUACUCAUUUCGUGGUACAAAUAAGAGAUCAGAUCCUUGUAUUGAGCUAGAGUUAGUCAUCGGUCCAGAUACAAGGUUAUGGUCUUCAUUAGAUGAGACCUGAUUGGCAGAACCAAAUAGUUUGUCAUGUAAGUCCUGACAAUGAUCAACGAAGUGACAUGUAUGACCACAUUGAGUACAUUUUUUAGGUUUAUGAAUUCCCAAACGACCACUGCUUCUAGUGUCUCGUCCACCCCAAGAGUUAACACCACGUCCACUUCAACCGCUACAUCUACUCCUGAAUGAACCAUCCCAAGCAAUAAAAGCAAAACGAUCUUUGCUAGGUGUACUAUCGAAGAGAGUAGAAUGCUGAAUACGAAAUAAU